CCCCCAGACUUGUGAAACGUAUACAACAGAAACCAUCAGAACUGCCCAUGCUGUAAAUUGGGAACCAAAGCAGAAGUUGCUGGAAAAGCUCAGCAGGUCUGGCAGCAUCUGGGAAAGGGAGAAAUCAGAGUUAACGUUUCGGGUCAAAGUGAGCCGGUCCUGAGAAAUGCGGUACUAUCCCAAUGAAAUCAUUCCAGCCCAUGGAUCCUGACCGGAGGGUAUUGGAUAUCCGCUAUUCGUGCCUGUCGCUGCCAAUCAGGGGAGUGGUCCUGGUUAAAACCCAGUUCUCAGCAGCUUGGCGGAUAGACAAGUGGGAGGUAGCUGGAGGUCUGAGAGCGGCCUGGUGAUCCACCAUGAGGCAGAAGCUGGCACUCACUCUGGUUAUGAUGGCUCUUGUUGCCGAUCUCAUCCUUGUGGCAGGAGAUGCAGGUCCCAAGCAUUUGAAAGGCAAGUUGGGAUCCAAGUCCACCAAACAUCCAGGGAACCACAAAAAGAAGAUUUCCACCAAAACCAAGAUAGCGGCAGCAGCUGCAGCAGGCGCUCUGGGAGGAGUGGUCAUUGGCUCAGCUCUGAGCCAUGAGCGGGAGGACCGGAUGAGGAACCGUCAAUAUGGCAAUGGGACCUGGAGAGGUGGUGGGAUGGUCCCUUGCCCAAUAGACAGGAUGUGGCUUGUGGGCUCAGUCCUCUCACUAACUUAUUGUGUAUCAGUGUAGCGUGGCCUCUUCCUGCGUGUUCUCUCUGCCCACCGCAAAGUGAAUCAUUUAUUUGGAAUUCUGAUUCCAAUUUCACUUUUUCGAUAUUUCCUUGCUUCUGUCCCAGCCCGUAUCAAAACAGUUUGCGAUCGCUUGCUGCUGUACUUUGCUAGAUCGUUAAUCAAACUCUUGCAGUACACAAGAGGGGCAUCAUUAUCACAAUCCUUUCACCAGUCUCAGGGACUUUGACAGUUGCCUGCCUUCCUUUUUGAGGAUCCCCCAGCUGGUGAAACAGAUCCUGUGUGCUCAGCUAUGUGACUGGGGACAACCAAAAUCCCAUUGCGAUUCCCUCUUCCCUGUGAGUCACAAAAAUGUCAUUGAUUACUGGUUCUCCUCUUCCCAUGUGGCUUUGUGCAGUUCGGGGCGUGACACGGUCAGGGCGUCAGCGAUGUUCUGUUGGAAACUGUCUGUCUCCCCGGGCUCAGAUAUCACCCAUUGUAUUUAAUGGUUGUAGUUGUGACGUGUACUAUAUCCCUGGGUCUUGUUCCAAUCUGUCCUUACAAAAAGAAAUUGUGAGCGACAGUGAAACUGAAAUAAAAGGGAGAAGUGAGCGAGGACGCUUGUCUUGUAAGACAUUGGGUCUCGUUUUGUUUUUCCCCUCUGACUAUGACUCUCAUUGACAAGCUGGCACUAAUUUUCUUCCAGGUUCUGGGCUUGUUUCCCUUUUCCAACAUUCUGCUUCCGUUCCAAUCUCUCCUGAGUCCAUUUGUGUUUCUCCUUUUGGAAGAAGUGACAGUGACCAAGUCUGAAAACAUCUCAUUUGAAGAGAUGAGGUGGGGCUAGGAGAAGGCUAGCCAGUCAGUGUCUCAGACCUUGUAUACCCAACUGAUCCUUCAGUUAAUCAUCACUCAUUUAACUUUACUCCUUAACCCUCCAAAACACACAGUAGAGAUUGAUAAACCUCCAAUUUUCAGUUCCCCAUUCCUCCCUCACCUGUCUGCAAUGUUGUUUGGGGGAAGACAGCUCCAGAUUUCCACAACCCUUUGAAAAUCUCAACAGCUGCAUGGUGAUAGUUGGUUCUCUCUCAUUGUGGAGGUAAUGACCCUCACAUCGCAGCGAAUCAUUUCUCUCUCGUCUCCAACCAUCUGUCUGUGUGUCUUGAAACUGUCUCUCUGCUCUGGAUUCUCCUAACAGGGAAGGACCCUCUUCUCAUCGAUCCUGUCAAAAUCCCUCCAAAAUUUCACUCUCAUCCCUUGAUCAGAACAGUAGACCUUACGUCCACAACGCUUCCUUCCGAAGACAAACACAAGUCUUCAUUUCUGACACUCCAGUAUUAUUAAAUGCUUUAUAAAGAUGAUUGGCUGGUCCAACAUUGGAGUAGGAAUGAGUCAGUAUGUACCCUACAGACAAUUGUGGCCUGGUCGUCACUGAAGACAAGUGACUUUCCGAUAGAGUACAUGUGAAAUUGAGCAAACAGAAACAGGAGGAGGCCAUUCGGCCCUUCGAGCCUGCUCUGUCAUUUUCACAAUCAUGGCUGAUCGUCCAACUCAAACGUCUAAUCCUGCUUUCUCCCCAUAACCUUUGAUCCCAUUUGUCCUACGUGCUAUAGCUAGCUGCCUCUUGAACACAUUCAGUGCUUUAGCAUCAACUACUUCCUGUGGUAAUGAAUUUUGUACGCUCACCACUCUUUUGGUGAAGAAAUGUCUCCUCAUCUCCAUCCUAAAUCGCCUAGCCCACAUCCUCAUACUGUGACCCCUGGAUCUGGACACACCCACCAUCCGGAACAUCCUUCCUGCAUCUACACUGUCCAGUCCUGUUAGAAUUUUAUAAGUCUCUAUGAGAUUCCCUCCUCAUUCAUCUGAACUCUAGUGAAAACAAUCCCAACCCAGUUAAUCUCUCCUCAUAUGUCAGUCCUGCCAUUCUCCAGAAUCGGUCUGGUAAACCUUCGCUGUACUCCCUCGAGCAAGCGCAUCCUUCCUCAAAAGGAGACCAAAACUGCGCACACUAUUCUAGGUGUGGCCUCGCCAAUUGGCAGGCAGUAACUAGUGGGGUGUAGGCCCUGUACAACUGUAACAACACACCCCUGCUCUUGUACUCGAAUCCUCUCAGAAUGAAGGCUGUUGUACCGUUUGCAUCCUUUACCGCCUGCUGCACCUGUUUACCUUACAGUGACUGGUGCACAAGGACACCCAGGUCCUGCUACACGCUCCUCUGUGCCAAUUUACAGCAAUUCAGGUAGUAAUCUUACUUCUUGUUUUUGCUUCUGAAGUGAGGAACCUCACAUUUAGGCAAAUUGCACUGCAUCUGCCAUUGAUUUGCCCAUUUUCCCAAUCUGUCGAGGUCAUGCUGAAGGAUCUCUACAUCCUUGUCACAGUUCACCGUCCCACCCAACUUGGUAUCAUCUGCAAACUUUGGGAUGUUACGUUUUGUUCCCUCUUCCAAAUCAUUCCUGUGGCACCCCACUAGUUCCUGCCUGCCAAUUGGAAAAGGACCCAUUAAUUCCUACUCUUUGUUUCGUCUCUGCCAACCAGUUUUCUACCCAUCUCACUACACUUCCCCCAAUCCCAUGCACUUUAUUCACACACAAUAGCCUCUUUUUUUUGUGGGACUUUGUCAAACACUUUCUGACUGCCCUUGGAAAGAAGCUAAUGUUGUUCACUUUGGAGACAGUGGAGUUGAAAUGUUGAUUGUCUGAGGUAAGAUAAUGGAUCCAGUACAUGGUUUUUGAGUAGCUGGUGGAUAUGCUCUGAGGUUGCCAAGAUAACAAAGUGUGGAGCUGGAUGAACACAGCAGGUCAAGCAGCAUCUCAGGAGCACAAAAGCUGAUGUUUCGGGGCUAGACCCUUCAUCUGAGGCUGACUUUUUCUGAGUGCUUAUUCAGUACUUAUGAAUUAAGUUGGAGUGGCUGAUGAUUUGCCACAAAGAUGGUCAAUAUAGGGAGCACUUCAGCUGAAAGGGGAAAAACAAAAGGAUCUCUGUUUCACCUGUUUGAAGAGUUUCUCUGUAAAAAUGAAGAAAACAGACCAAGGCCUCUCAGAUGGGCAUGAGUAAUUAAAAUCAUAUUUCCUCAGAUUGAUCAGAAGCGAAGGGCUUGUUACUGUUUGACUUGAAUCAAAUUUAAUAUUUGCUGUUUGAAUUUGUGUUUUUUCUUUGCACAUUUUAAGGUGUCAGCCAUUGUCUGAGUGAGUGGUUAUAUAUUGGAUAGCUUUUUGUGCUGAGUGUUUGAUAGAGCUAUUCCUUCCGUGGUUUGAAAGUUUAGUUUGGUGGAAUAUCUUUUGAAAUACUGUGUGUGCAGACUUGGCAUCGUUGUUGCAGGCUCUGAUGUAUUUAUUUAUGGAAGGGAUGUGUUCGUGCUGUUCAGAAACUUGUUGCUGUUCUGCUUUCUCAGCAAAAUUAAGGUUGGUAUAGUCGUUCUGUUUGCACCAGUAUUUAACCGAUGACAAGCCAAAGGAGAAAGGGCAGUACACAGGCUACUGUGUUCAGCAACAAUGUUCUGCUGCACUUGGCCGAAAUAGUGAGUCAUCGGAAGGAGCGAUGCAAGAAUGGAGGAAAAGGGGCAAUUUUGCUGAACGUAGUAAUAAAGAGAAAAGAUGACCAGAAUUGUUUGGACCUGCUUUUUGCUAAUUUUCCCCAUUCCUGAUUUUACCUAAACAAAGCUGGUGCCGCAGAACAUUUCACUAUCCAUCCUAAGCUUUCAGAUUUCUGGAGCUGGUUUUUAAAAAGUGUUACUUUCUUGUUGGCAUAAUUAUGUGGUAAAACCUUAAUGUACAAACAUGCAUGUGAGACCAUGUAAGAAUAAAAUCAAUAAAAUGGCAAGGGAGCUGACA